rnacentral:rRNA from 1 species
AGAGUUUGAUCAUGGCUCAGGACGAACGCUGGCGGCGCGCUUAACACAUGCAAGUCGAGCGAGAACCCAGGCUUCGGCCUGGGGGACAGCGGCGAACGGGUGAGUAUCACGUGGGUAAUCUGCCCUCGGCAUCGGGAUAGCCCGGGGAAACCCGGAUUAAUACCGAAUGGCCCAGCAGCUCUUCGGAGCGGCUGGAAAAGGUAGCUUCGGCCUCCGGCCGAGGAGGAGCCCGCGGCGGAUUAGCUUGUAGGUGAGGUAACGGCUCACCAAGGCUCCGAUCCGUAGCUGGUCUGAGAGGACGAUCAGCCACACUGGGACUGAGACACGGCCCAGACUCCUACGGGAGGCAGCAGUGGGGAAUCUUGCGCAAUGGGCGAAAGCCUGACGCAGCGACGCCGCGUGAGGGAAGAAGGCCUUCGGGUUGUAAACCUCUUUCAGGAGGGACGAAGCCACUCGGGUUAAUAGCCCAGAGGGUGACGGUACCUCCAGAAGAAGCCCGGCUAACUACGUGCCAGCAGCCGCGGUA